CCGAGGAAGAGCUCAAAUUUGAAAUCUGGCGUCCUCAGGGCGUCCGAGUUGUAAUCUAUAGAGGCGUUUUCCGUGCCGGACCGUGUCCAAGUUCCUUGGAACAGGAUAUCAAAGAGGGUGACAAUCCCGUACUUGACACGAUGACCGGUGCUCUGUGAUACGUCUUCUACGAGUCGAGUUGUUUGGGAAUGCAGCUCAAAAUGGGUGGUGAGUUCCAUCUAAAGCUAAAUAUUGGCGAGAGACCGAUAGCGAACAAGUACCGUGAGGGAAAGAUGAAAAGCACUUUGGAAAGAGAGUUAAACAGUACGUGAAAUUGUUGAAAGGGAAACGAUUGAAGUCAGUCGUGACUGAGAGGCUCAGCCGGUUCUGCCGGUGUAUUCCCCUCAGUCGGGUCAACAUCAGUUUUGUCCGGUGGAAAAGGGCGGUAGGAACGUGGCACCUCCGGGUGUGUUAUAGCCUGCCGUCGCAUACAUCGGGUGAGACUGAGGAAUGCAGCUCGCCUCUAUGGCCGGGGUUCGCCCACGUCCGAGCUUAGGAUGUUGACAUAAUGGCUUUAAACGACCCGCUGA
rnacentral:rRNA from 1 species